AGAGUUUGAUUAUGGCUCAGGAUGAACGCUGGCGGCGUGCCUAACACAUGCAAGUCGAACGGAGUUACGAGAGCUUGCUUUGUAACUUAGUGGCGGACGGGUGAGUAAUGCGUGAGCAACCUGCCUUUCAGAGGGGGACAACAGUUGGAAACGACUGCUAAUACCGCAUAAUGUAUUUUGGGGGCAUCCCCGAAAUACCAAAGGAGCAAUCCGCUGAAAGAUGGGCUCACGUCUGAUUAGCUAGUUGGUGGGGUAACGGCUCACCAAGGCUGCGAUCAGUAGCCGGACUGAGAGGUUGAACGGCCACAUUGGGACUGAGAUACGGCCCAGACUCCUACGGGAGGCAGCAGGUGGGGAAUAUUGGGCAAGUGGGCGAAAGCCCUGACCCAGCAACGCCGCGUGAAGGAAGAAGGUCUUCGGAUUAGUAAACUUCUUUAUGGAGGGACGAAGGACGUGACGGUACCUCAUGAAUAAGCCACGGCUAACUACGUGCCAGCAGCGGC
rnacentral:rRNA from 1 species